GAUGAAGAACGCAGCGAAAUGCGAUAAGUAGUGUGAAUUGCAGAAUUCAGUGAAUCAUCGAAUCUUUGAACGCACAUUGCGCCCCUUGGUAUUCCAUGGGGCAUGCCUGUUCGAGCGUCAUUUGUACCUUCAAGCCUUGCUUGGUGUUGGGUGUUUGUCUCGCCUCUGCGCGCAGACUCGCCUCAAAACGAUUGGCAGCCGGCGUAUUGAUUUCGGAGCGCAGUACAUCUCGCGCUUUGCACUCAGAACGACGACGUCCAAAAGUACAUUUUUACACUCUUGACCUCGGAUCAGGUAGGGAUACCCGCUGAACUUAAGCAUAUCAAUAAGCGGAGGA
rnacentral:misc_RNA from 1 species